GGCUCGGUAGCUUAGUUGGUAAAGCGCUCGUCUAGCAUACAAGAGUCCUGGGUUCGAAUCCAUCUUUACCA
rnacentral:tRNA from 1 species